GCUAAAAUAGAAUGACAGGAAAACGUUGAAAAGAGACCUAGGGUGAGAGAGAAUCGCCGAAGAAAUGAGAAAUAAUGGAUUGGAUAGAUAUAUUUGAGGAUUUAAGUUUCGAAUGAUGGGAAGGAAGCUGGCCUGAUCGGAGGUAAGACGCUGGAAAGUGUUUGGAAGCAGCGGCAACGGUUUGUUAGAAAGGACAAUAAAGGAGGAAGAGAGAAAAAGAAAAUUAGUAGAAGAAAGGGGAAAAGGGGGAGAGAAGAAAGGGAGAACCGAACGUGAGAGAGAUGAAGGAAGAAAGAGUUUUUAUUAUUUAUUUUAAAAAUGGUUUGAAUUUUAUUUCAUUUUGUAAAAAAUAUCGUACUUUGGAAAAGUUAUAUUCAAUCUUUAUGGAUUGAAGAUACAAUCUUUUCUUAAAUAGUAUUUAGACCCAGAAAAAUUUAGGCCUGUUUUUCCAAGCUUUUGUUUCGCUUUGGGCCUAUUUCGUUUUGGAGUCGGUCUUUUUAGUCCUGAUAGUUCGUGUUUUUGAAUUUUAAUAAUAGCCCAGUAUUUUCCUUCAAAAAAAAACCUUAAACCAACACCGGGAUAUCCUUCGAAUGGGAUAUACCCGGCCGGGAUAUCCCUCUUUAGGAUAUCCCCCAGCGGGAUAUACACGGAAUGGGAUAUCCCUACGUGGAAUAAGUGUGACAGGUAGUCCGGUCCUGCAGCAUAAAAAAUCUGAACCGGACACUAAAAGAACUGAACCGGACAGGGGAAAUUCUGAAUCGGGAUGGGAUAUGAAGGGGAUAUCCCAAGAAUAGCUUAUUCCGAGACAGGAUAUGACAAGGAUAUUCGUGGAUUGGAAUAAGACAAUCUUUAAAUCCUGUAAGCUAACCCAAAACAGAAAAAUCAAAAGAAAAAAAAAUUUAUUCAGAACCAGCAUGCAUCGAGAAAUCAACUAAGACAAUAAAUGAACAAGAAAUUGGUUAUGACAUCAUUAGAGAAUAUAUCCAACACAUCUUUUUACCAGUCUCAUAAAACCAUCAACCAAUAAGCAAAUCAAAAUUAUGUUAAUCAGUCUCAUGGAACCUAUUUACUUAAAAGAUUACAACUCAAUUUCCCUUCAUGUAAGGCUAGGUAACACAGAUAAAUAUAAUUCUAUCUUUAACCAAAAUCAGAGCAUUUUCACCACAUGGAUAUAUCAAUAAUCACAUAAAACUUCCCAUUCAGCAGAUAGACAGAGACACCAUGGGUCUACCUAAAACUUCCAAUCAAAAUCCAUUUGCAAAUCAUACCCAACAGAACUCAAACAAUCCCAAUUAUUUUAAAGAAAAUAUACCCAACACUUACUGACUAAUGCAAGCACCCAGCAGUAUGAAAAAGAAAACAUAUAUGCAUACACGAAUCAUGACAAUCUCCACCGUAAAUAAUCAUGAAACCCAAAUCGACAAAAACCUUUGCAAUUAGCAAAUCGGUUGAAAUUCUCCAAUUCCUAUCAAUGUCAACAAGCAUCCCAAUUAGAUUAUUAUUAUUUUUUAAAAACUAAAGUACAGACUUUUUGAGAAAAACUAAGAAACAGAAUGUCACAACUCACAACGAAUUAAAAAGACAUUUUAUUACCAUCCAGAAAAACUACCAAAUAAACUCUACGUGCGUCACAACUCCCACCGGGUUCCUAGAACCAAAAUCAAGCCAACACAACUCCCACCGGGUUCCUAGAACCAAAAUCAAGCCAACACAGAUGCAGUAAACAAUUUACAUACGGAUGCUUUUUGUUUAGGCAAUUAGUAUUCUGCUAAGCAACGAUUUAAAAGAAAUAGAAAAUAACACAAAAGCUAUAAUAUUAAACGGAGGGGAACAAACAAUCCAAAAAUAAAGAACAACAUAUAGUAUACGAUAAACAAACAAAAAUGAAGAAUAAGACCGACAUUUAUAGAUCUGAAAGACGGAACGAAACAGAGAUUUCUAAAGCUGAAAACCAAAAAGCCUAAGAAAAACCCACUGAAAUACAAGUAAAAAAGCAUGGAGCUGAAACUAAAAAAGAAAUUGAUACCUGAAAUGAGUCUCCGUUUAAGCAGCGAAUUUCAAAAAUCACAAAAACCAGAAACGCCAGAGAAAACUUAGGGUUUCUCUCACGAAAACUCUCUUCCUACUAUAGCGUGUGUUUUUUUGGCCUGUGGAUACCCAAAGCUAAAAAAGAAUGACAGGAAAACGUUGAAAAGAGACCGAGAGUGAGAGAGAAUCACCGAAGAAAUGGGGAGCAAUGGAUUGGAUAGAUAUAUUUGAGGAUUUAAAUUUCGAAUGAUGGGAAGGAAGCUGGCCUGAUCGGAGGUAAGACGCUGGAAAGUGUGUGGAGGCAGUGGCAGCGGUUUGUUAGAAAGGACAAUAAAGAAGGAAAAGAGAAAAAGAAAAUUAGUAGAAAAAAGGGAAAAAGGGGAAGAGAACAAAGGGAGAACCGAAGGU
rnacentral:lncRNA from 1 species